UACAGAGGUGGCAAGCGUUGUUCGGAAUUACUGGGCGUAAAGGGCGCGUAGGCGGCCUACUAAGUCAGACGUGAAAUCCCCCGGCUUAACCUGGGAACUGCGUCUGAUACUGGAAGGCUCGAGUAUGGGAGAGGGAUGUAGAAUUCCAGGUGUAGCGGUGAAAUGCGUAGAUAUCUGGAGGAAUACCGGUGGCGAAGGCGGCAUCCUGGGUCGGUAUUGACGCUGAGGAGCGAAAGCCAGGGGAGCAAACGGG
rnacentral:rRNA from 1 species